rnacentral:snRNA from 1 species
AGUUUUGCGCAGUGGCAGUAGCAUAGCCAAUGAGGUUUAUCCAAGGUAUGAUUAUUGUUAAUUAAAAGAGGAAUGUAUUCAAAACCAUGGUUGGAGUAGUGAAAUUCAGGUCUAUGUGACAUAUUUUAGGAAGGACACUGGGUC